UGGGUGGCCCCUUGUUUAGGUAAUCCAGUUAGAUUCCACAAACAUUUAUUAAGUAAAUACUAUGUACCAGGAAUGCUUUAAGACCCCGGGAAUACAAAGACCAAGAAAGGAAAUAGUCCCUAACCUCAAAACGCUUAUAUUCUAAGAGGGAAGGAGGGGGAAAUAGACAACACAGGUAAAAAUAAGGGACUAUAAAAUUGUAAACAAGCAGUACAAAGUAGUUUUAAGAUAGCGAGAACCCUGAAAACAAAAGGGAAUUAGGAAAGGGCUCCUGCAAGAAGGGACACUUGAAUGGUGCUUUGAAGGAAGAAACAAAUUCUACUGGAUCCAUAGAAUGAAGAGAGUACAUUCCAGACAUGGAGGACAGGCUGUAUGAAGGCAUGAGUACACGUCUUUGGACUUCUUCAUCAAGAUUGCAGUAUUUCCAAUGGACAUGGACUGAGAUUCUGAAAGAAGAACCUUUAGUCUCAACCUACACUCAAAACCCUAGUUGUCAAUCAAUAAGCCACUCUGAACAUCUCAAGGAAGUCUCUCCAUUUGGGUAGAAGCUAC
rnacentral:lncRNA from 1 species